rnacentral:rRNA from 1 species
GACGAACGCUGGCGGCGUGCUUAACACAUGCAAGUCGAACGGAAAGGCCCUGCUUUUGUGGGGUGCUCGAGUGGCGAACGGGUGAGUAACACGUGAGUAACCUGCCCUUGACUUUGGGAUAACUUCAGGAAACUGGGGCUAAUACCGGAUAGGAGCUCCUGCUGCAUGGUGGGGGUUGGAAAGUUUCGGCGGUUGGGGAUGGACUCGCGGCUUAUCAGCUUGUUGGUGGGGUAGUGGCUUACCAAGGCUUUGACGGGUAGCCGGCCUGAGAGGGUGACCGGCAAAAUUGGGACUGAGAUACGGCCCAGACUCCUACGGGAGGAAGAAGGGGGGAAUAUUGCACAAUGGGCGGAAGCCUGAUGCAGCAACGCCGCGUGCGGGAUGACGGCCUUCGGGUUGUAAACCGCUUUCGCCUGUGACGAAGCGUGAGUGACGGUAAUGGGUAAAGAAGCACCGGAUAACUACGUG